rnacentral:rRNA from 1 species
AUGAAGGUGAAGCCCGGCACGGAGCCGGCCACCGGCGUCCCCGUCGGCGGCGCACCCGGCACCCCCACCGCCUGGUCCUCCACCGGCGUCCCCUUCGGCGGCGCACCCGGCGCCCCCACCGCCUGGUCCUCCGGCCUCUUCGACUGCUUCGACGACUGCGGCCUCUGUUGCCUGACUUGCUGCUGCCCGUGCAUCACGUUCGGCAAGGUGGCGGAGAUCGUGGACCGGGGCGCGACGUCGUGCGGGACGAGCGGCGCGCUCUACGUGCUGCUCGCGUCGCUCACGGGGUGCCACUGGAUCUACUCCUGCACCUACCGCUCCAAGAUGCGCGCCCAGUACGCGCUCCCGGACGAGCCCUGCUGCGACUGCUGCGUGCACUACUGCUGCGAGCCCUGCGCGCUCGUCCAGGAGUACAAGGAGCUCAAGGCCCGCGGCUACGACCCCGAGAUCGGCUGGCACCUCAACGUCGAGCGCCGCAACGGCGGCCCCGGCGUCAACCCGCCCGGCAUGCAGCAGAUGGGCCGCUGA